CGGAUUGUAGUCUGNAACCCGACUACAUGAAGCUGGAAUCGCUAGUAAUCGCGGAUCAGAAUGCCGCGGUGAAUACGUUCCCGGGUCUUGUACACACCGCCCGUCACACCAUGGGAGUCGGAAAUGCCCGAAGUCAGUGACCCAACCGUAAGGAGGGAGCUGCCGAAGGUGGAGCCGGUAACUGGGGUGAAGUCGUAACAAGGUAGC
rnacentral:rRNA from 1 species